rnacentral:rRNA from 1 species
UACGUAGGGACCGCGCGUUGUCCGGAAUCAUUGGGCGUAAAGAGCGUGUAGGCGGCCUUUUAAGUCCUGCGUGAAAUCCUGCGGCUCAACCGCAGACGGUCGUGGGAAACUGGAAGGCUAGAGUGCGGGAGAGGAGAGUGGAAUUCCCGGUGUAGCGGUGAAAUGCGCAGAUAUCGGGAAGAACACCCGUGGCGAAGGCGGCUCUCUGGAACGCAACUGACGCUGAGACGCGAAAGCGUGGGGAGCAAACAGG